CCUACGGGAGGCAGCAGUGAGGAAUAUUGGUCAAUGGCCGCAGGGCUGAACCAGCCAAGUCGCGUGAGGGAUGACGGUCCUAUGGAUUGUAAACCUCUUUUGUCAGGGAGCAAAGGGCGCCACGUGUGGCGUUUUGCGAGUACCUGAAGAAAAAGCAUCGGCUAACUCCGUGCCAGCAGCCGCGGUAAUACGGAGGAUGCGAGCGUUAUCCGGAUUUAUUGGGUUUAAAGGGUGCGUAGGCGGGAUGCCAAGUCAGCGGUAAAAAUGCGGUGCUCAACGCCGUCGAGCCGUUGAAACUGGCGUUCUUGAGUGGGCGAGAAGUAUGCGGAAUGCGUGGUGUAGCGGUGAAAUGCAUAGAUAUCACGCAGAACUCCGAUUGCGAAGGCAGCAUACCGGCGCCCUACUGACGCUGAGGCACGAAAGCGUGGGUAUCGAACAGGAUUAGAUACCCGUGUAGUC
rnacentral:rRNA from 1 species